rnacentral:rRNA from 1 species
AUUGAACGCUGGCGGAAUGCUUUACACAUGCAAGUCGAACGGCAGCACGGGUGCUUGCACCUGGUGGCGAGUGGCGAACGGGUGAGUAGCAUAUCGGAACGUACCCAGUAAUGGGGGAUAACUAACCGAAAGGUUAGCUAAUACCGCAUACGCCCUGAGGGGGAAAGCGGGGGAUCGAAAGACCUCGCGUUAUUGGAGCGGCCGAUAUCUGAUUAGCUAGUUGGUGAGGUAAAGGCUCACCAAGGCGACGAUCAGUAGCAGGUCUGAGAGGAUGAUCUGCCACACUGGAACUGAGACACGGUCCAGACUCCUACGGGAGGCAGCAGUGGGGAAUUUUGGACAAUGGGGGAAACCCUGAUCCAGCCAUUCCGCGUGAGUGAAGAAGGCCUUCGGGUUGUAAAGCUCUUUCGGCAGGGAAGAAACGGUUCUGGAUAAUACCCGGAGCUAAUGACGGUACCUGAAGAAGAAGCACCGGCCAACUACGUGCCAGCAGCCGCAGUAA